rnacentral:lncRNA from 1 species
GCGCAUUUCAAUUACAUUACUUUGAUAUAAAUUAAUGAAAAUAUAUACAAACAUGGACCAAUUAAAGGGUGGAACACACUCUAUGUGUGAUAAUAUUAUCUGAAAUAUAGUUGCGUGCUUUUCGCGUUCUGAUCUUAACUAGUUUUUCUUUGUUGGUCUUUUGUAUGUUUAUGAAUUGUGUUAUCUGUUAUCUGUUUUACCGUGUUAAAAGCGAUCUGUCCUUUUCAUGUUUUGAUACUUAUUGUAUAUUCUUUAAUAAGUCUUGUACUCAAAUCGAGAUACAAAAGAAUCGGUUGAGAUUUGAAUUAUCCAGCAGAUUUUCGCCCCAUAUUUUGUGCCUUUUCUUAGUUCAGAAUUUCGUCAGUAGAUCGUUUUUUUGUCACAUGGAUUGAUUUCGAUGUUUUUUUGUGUGUGUUUUUUUUUCCAUUCGAGAAUCAGGCAUUUCUGGUAGAUCUCUAUUGAAAACCUUUUGUUUUAAUUGGGAAGUGUUUUAGCUUAAAUUGAUAAUUUGCUUUGAUAACCAUCUAUUUAUGAAGACCAUUAGUUGACCUCCUAGAUAUUUGUUUAUGUUGUUGAGUUUCUUUUUCAUUGUCAUAUGACCCAUAUCGUCUUUUGUUCGUAUUGGGUCGCUGCUUUGAAUGCUUUGAAUGCUGAACAUGUAUUUAUUUAACUAUUUUUACGAAAUGUCCAUGCAAAAUAUAGCAUCUGUGUGCAUUUAUACUCUUACUCGAGUAUUUAUAACUUUGCUGACUUUUUACGUCAUGUGUGUCCAUUAGUCUUAAUAUUGAUAAAACCUUUGCCCUAUCGUUAGGCCUAUUUAUCUCUAAGCUUAUACGUUUUGAUUGUGCAUGUUCACACUAUACGGACUAAGAUCACCGUCAGUUGUUUUUCUUUGUUAUGUUGUAUUCUGUUGUAUGUUCGUGAUUCGUAAGUUUUCGUUUAUUGCCAUUUCAUUGUCUUCAAAUAAUGAGUGAAAUAUCUUUGUUAUCUGCCGUCUCUUUUCGGCAAACCCGACUGCAAUCGAUUUUCUAAGUUUUUGUUUUUACCUUGAAUUAGAAUCUUUCAGUGAAUCUAUGAAAUUUGACCAUCAGUAAUCAAAUGUUCCCUGUUAUUGAUCAUAAAGGUCUUAUAUUCAUUCAUAAACAUACUAGAUUUUACAUUUUGAAUUAGCUUUUUGUGAAAGUUUAAGGUUGUACAAAACAACUCUGCUUACGCAUUUUUGUUAAUUUUAUUAGGUACACGUAGGGUUCAAUUUCACUGAGGACAAAGAACUGUACAAUUUAAAAAAUAUUUUAAUAUCAUGUUU